CUACGGGUGGCACCAGUGGGGAAUAUUGCACAAUGGGCGCAAGCCUGAUGCAGCCAUGCCGCGUGUAUGAAGAAGGCCUUCGGGUUGUAAAGUACUUUCAGCGGGGAGGAAGGGAGUAAAGUUAAUACCUUUGCUCAUUGACGUUACCCGCAGAAGAAGCACCGGCUAACUCCGUGCCAGCAGCCGCGGUAAUACGGAGGGGUGCAAGCGUUAAUCGGAAUUACUGGGCGUAAAGCGCACGCAGGCGGUUUGUUAAGUCAGAUGUGAAAUCCCCGGGCUCAACCUGGGAACUGCAUCUGAUACUGGCAAGCUAGAGUCUCGUAGAGGGGGGUAGAAUUCCAGGUGUAGCGGUGAAAUGCGUAGAGAUCUGGAGGAAUACCGGUGGCGAAGGCGGCCCCCUGGACGAAGACUGACGCUCAGGUGCGAAAGCGUGGGGAGCAAACAGGAUUAGAUACCCCUGUAGUC
rnacentral:rRNA from 1 species